GUGCAUGUUCAGUUUGUCAGGCACUGACAGAGCAAUGCCAAGCAGCCGAGGCAGAGGAAUCCAGAGGCUAAGGAAGGCCAAUGAAGAGAGGACAGGACAGCAGCCUGAAGUUCUUCCUCCAGGUUCCUGCUUGGUUUGGUGUCCUUCCUUGGCUUCCCUCAAUAGAUUGUGAUUCAGGAUAGCCACGGAACCACCCCAUGAUCAUGAAGUCUAAGAAGACACCCACUUCUGCCGCCAGGGCCCUAUUUGCCUUCAGAGACUCCACCACACCACCUGUUCCUAGCGUGGGGUCCCCAGUAAUCCGUCACAGCACACAGUGUCCCUCUUGACAGACCCCCAACCUUUAAGCAGCCAUGUUCUUGUGACAGCUUUCUCUGCACAUGCCUGUGAGCACAGUAGACACUUAGCAGCUGCCUCCUGCCUUGCCUCCUGCUGCAUUGCCCUUUUCCACAGUGACAGCCGGUAGAUUUGGUAGAUUCGAUUGCUCUCAUUUCAUCACUUCAAGGUCACUGCCGCUGCUGUGCUAUGUGAGAUCUUGGCUCCAAGCCCUGGCCUGAAAACCUUCUGGGAAGAUAGACCGAGUUUCUCAUUAAUCUAUUCGGUCUAGAAGUGUCCACAGGGUGCCUACUGUGUCCCAGGCACUGUUGUGGGUUUCAGGCCAUAUCGUCACCAGAGCUUGUCUUCUGGUAAGAGAAAGCAGAGAAGCUCUGACAGAAUAUAUGAUCUUUCGGAGGUGAUAUGUGUGGAGGGGAGGGGAGGGUGUCAAACGGUUAAGAGAACCUCGAGGCUCGAGUGGGAAGUGUAAUGGCUGCCAUCUGAAUCAUUGGGCCAUGUGAACAGACAGAGAUGAAAAAGAUAACUGUGUGGGCACCCACAGAAAGAUCAUACAGACCAAGGCUUGCUACAUCACACCCCUGAAGCUGAAGCCUUCCUGAGGGCUGGAACAGAGAGCAAGGUGGGAGCGGCUUGGAUUUCAGCCUGAGAGAUAAACAGACGGUUAUCAGCUCCAACCACACCUCUAGCCAACACAGAGACCUCUAGCCAGACGAGGCUCUAAGUUCGUGAAGUGUGGCUGGUCCAAAGAGACGGCACCUCACAUUUGAAAGGCUGAAUGGACGCAAACAUAAGAUUCGCUAUUUUUGUCUGGAUGACAUUUGACAACAACAGUAAUUCUGUGGUAUUGGGUUAACUAAAGCAUAUUACUGCCUUUUUCCUCAUUGGUGGGAGAGGGAGGAUAGACGGGUCCCCAGCAGCUAUACUAGAGUCAGCCAGGGAAGUCAGAGUAGGGUUCUCACACUUGCUGCAUCUGUUCAAACUACCACAGUCCCCAGCCCGGAAAAGCGAGUUGAACAUGCAUGGGCAGUGUUUCCAUCAGUGUGCAAAGGAUACAGGAAUCACUAAGGUGGAGUAAGUGCCUUUGGAUGGAAUAUUCCAGACCAUCCAUUUAAUGAAGAGAGGCCACACCAGUCUUCAUGCA